rnacentral:rRNA from 1 species
UUCGCAAUGCCCGAAAGGGUGACGAUGCGACGCCGCGUGAGCGAAGAAGGCCCUAGGGUUGUAAAGCUCUGUCGAGGGUUAUGAAAUAUAGAUGGGUUAAUACCCCAUUUAUUUGACAAAAGCCCAAAAGGAAGCCACGGCUAACUCUGUGCCAGCAGCCGCGGUAAUACAGAGGCGGCGAGCGUUGUUCGGUAUUAUUGGGCGUAAAGAGCACGUAGGUGGUUUUGUAAGUCAGGUGUGAAAGCCUUCUGUUCAAAGGAAGAACGGCAUCUGAAACUGCAGAUCUUGAGUGUAGGAGGGGAGAGUGGAACUUCUGGUGGAGCGGUGAAAUGCGUAGAUAUCAGAAGGAACGUCGGCGGCGAAAGCGACUCUCUGGCCUAUUACUGACACUGAGGUGCGAAAGUUAGGGGAGCAAACGGGAUUAGAUACCCCGGUAGUCCUAACCGUAAACGAUGGGCACUAAGUAGAGGGGUUUU